rnacentral:rRNA from 1 species
UUCCGGUUGAUCCUGCCGGACCCGACUGCUAUUGGGGUGAGGCUAAGCCAUGCGAGUCAGCGCUUCUAACCACGAUGAGGCGCGGCAUACGGCUCAGUAACAUGUGGUCAAUCUACCCUCAGGACGGGGACACCCUCGGGAAACUGAGGCUGAUCCCAGAUAGAUAAUGGAUCCUGGAAUGGUUCUUUAUCCAAACGAUACGGGGCUCAUGUGUUUCGUGUCGCCUGAGGAUGAGACCGCACCCUAUCAGGUAGUUGGUGGGGUAACGGCCCACCAAGCCUAUAACGGGUACGGGCCCUGAGAGGGGGAGCCCGGAGAUGGGUACUGAGACAAGGACCCAGGCCCUACGGGGCGCAGCAGGCGCGAGACCUCUGCAAUGCGCGAAAGCGCGACAGGGCCACCCCGAGUGCUAGACGCUGAGUCUAGCUUUUCCUUAGUGUAGUAAGCUAGGGGAAUAAGCGGGGGGCAAGCCUGGUGUCAGCCGCCGCGGUAAUACCAGCUCCGCGAGUGGUCGGGACGAUUAUUGGGCCUAAAGCGUCCGUAGCCGGCCUAGCAAGUCUCUGGUUAAACUUCAAGGCUUAACCUUGAGAUUGCUGGAGAUACUGCUAGGCUAGGGGGCGGGAGAGGUUGAGGGUACUUCACGGGUAGGGGCGAAAUCCUAUAAUCCGUGAAGGACCACCAGUGGCGAAGGCGCUCAACUGGAACGCGCCCGACGGUGAGGGACGAAAGCCAGGGGAGCAAAGGGGAUUAGAUACCCCCGUAGUCCUGGCUGUAAACGAUGCGGGCUAGGUGUUGGGUUGGCCUUUCGUGCCAACCCGGUGCCGCAGUGAAGGCGAUAAGCCCGCCGCCUGGGAAGUACGGCUGCAAGGCUGAAACUUAAAGGAAUUGGCGGGGGAGCACCACAAGGGGUGAAGCCUGCGGCUUAAUUGGAGUCAACGCCGGAA